rnacentral:rRNA from 1 species
CCGUCUUGAAACACGGACCAAGGAGUCUAACAUGUGCGCGAGUCAUUGGGUCACACUAAACCCAAAGGCGCAAUGAAAGUGAAGGCAGCCYCGGGUUUGCCUAGGUAGGAUCUUUUUUUCUCUUUUGAGAGAAGGCGCACUACCGGCCCGUCUCGUCCGCGUUGCGGUGAGGCGGAGCGAGAGCGCACACGUUGGGACCCGAAAGAUGGUGAACUAUGCCUGAGUAGGACGAAGCCAGAGGAAACUCUGGUGGAAGUCCGUAGCGAUU